rnacentral:rRNA from 1 species
UACAGAGGUCUCAAGCGUUGUUCGGAUUCAUUGGGCGUAAAGGGUGCGUAGGCGGCGCGGUAAGUCGGGUGUGAAAUCCCUCGGCUCAACCGGGGAACUGCGUCUGAUACUGGGCGGCUUGAAUCCGGGAGAGGGAUGCGGAAUUCCAGGUGUAGCGGUGAAAUGCGUAGAUAUCUGGAGGAACACCGGUGGCGAAGGCGGCAUCCUGGACCGGUACUGACGCUGAGGCGCGAAAGCGUGGGGAGCAAACAGG